rnacentral:rRNA from 1 species
UACGUAGGGCGCAAGCGUUGUCCGGAAUCAUUGGGCGUAAAGAGCUCGUAGGCGGCCUGUCGCGUCCGCUGUGAAAUCCCGGGGCUUAACCCCGGGCGUGCAGUGGAUACGGGCUGGCUGGAGGCAGGCAGGGGAGAACGGAAUUCCUGGUGUAGCGGUGAAAUGCGUAGAUAUCAGGAGGAACACCUGUGGCGAAAGCGGCGCACUGGACCACAACUGACGCUGAGGCGCGAAAGCUAGGGGAGCAAACAGG